CACUUCUUGCUGUGCAGCCCAGUUGCUAACAAGCUAUGGAUCGGUACUGGUCUGUGGCCUAGGGGCUGGGGCCUCUGGCUUAAGAAAUACAUCGUAUGUCAUGAUCAGGCAUACUAAAUAUGUAUACAAGUGAAUGUCUUUUUUUAAAUGACACAAAAGUAUCACAAACAAUACUUGUGUGAUGUAUUCUGAUAGACUCAAUUCUUCCAUUUAAUUCAAAUAAAAAUCUGAUCAUGACCCAUUAAGUUGAUUUCACAACCCACUAAUCAGUCAAACCUACAGACUGCACUGCUUUAAAGAUACUAUUCUCGCUGUUGGGUAUAAAAUACAUUGUGGGGGUCGUGGGGGUAGGCAAGAGAAGAGGCAGGAAGCUCAAUGAGGAGGAUAUUGCACAAACUCAGGCACAAGCAGAUAGCAGAUUGGAGCAGGAUGUUGGUGGUGGGGGCAAAGGCCGGUGGGCACUCUGUGUUUUAGAAGCAGAAUGUGCAGGACUUAUUAAUGAAUUAGAUGAACAAGAAGGAGGAAUUAGUGAUGACUUUGUUUUUGGUUUGGGUCGCUGGGGGAACAGCGGUGUUGAUUACUGACAUGGAUUUGCCUGGGGAAAGGAGCUGAUUUGCAGGUAAUUGGCCACAACCCUGGAGUUAGAGCCCGAUCUGGAGCCAGGCCCUGGAGGGGUUCUGGAUGGACAUAGAGAAGGGCAUUCCCAGGCUGAGGCAGCAAGUGUGGGCUGGAGGGAGAAAGGCAGAGCUGCGCGGUGGGCAUGGUGAGAGGAGCAGGGUUAGGGCUGACAGAUGAAGGCUUUUAGGGCCACCUUGCACUCCAGCCACAGAAGGAAGGCCACAGAACAGAUGGUGCCUGUGUCGGCCUCUGCAUGCCAGGCUCCAGGGGCGUCUCUCAGGACCCGGGUGUCUGGACCCUAGGAAAGCAGGACCACAGGGAUCAGCAAGGUCACCCUUCUUCCCCCUUCCCCGCUCCAUUUUACACUGUACAGAUGGGAAACCCAAGAGGCCAAGCCCCAGCUCCGAGCAGGAGGGGGAUAGAGCUCUGGGUCCUGGCCUCUGUUCCAUCCAGUCCCCACAGGCUGUGGAAACAACCAGGAGACUGAUUUGCCUUUCACCUCCCUGGCCUGAGCUCAAACGGGGCCUCAGAGAGGAAGCAGCUCACUGCCUCACCCACCCUUCACACUGGCCAGCCAAGCAGGAUUUCUGGCCCUGGGGCCUGGCUGGGUACCCUGGUCUGCGUCCCUGUGCCCCUGUGGGCCUCAGUUUCCCCAUCUUUCAUGUGGGAAUGAGGUAGGGUCAGCUGACGGUCUCUACCCUUUCGGCUCUAAGGUAGCGUUCGUCUGGAAUUAGGGCUGGGGGAUGGGCCCUAAUUCCCUGGAGACAGGCUGGAGGGCACUAGAGGUGGGAAGGCCAUGAGGAGGGGAAGCUCUGGCCUCACUUCUCUCACUGUGGAGCUGCCUGGGGCAGGGGCAAGGCUGCGGCCCUCCAGAGGGUGGGGUGUCGAGCUGCCAAGGAGAGGGCACCCGCUUAGAGGCCUCUGGCUGCCCAGGGAUGCCUGUGGGGCCGUCCGUGGGCAGGGGACUGUGGCCGCAAGAUGGGGGAGAGGUUUUUCAGGGUGUAAUUAGUGCACUUUCUGGCACCCACCAAACUUCCCCUUCCUCUUGACAAUUUGCUGCCAAACAGCCUGAUUCCUGUGGACUUGCUUAAAUCUUAUCCAGGGGAAAAAAAAUAAAAAUAAAAAAAAAAGAAAGAAAGAAAGGAAGAAAAAGAAAAAAAUAUUAAGAGGGUUGUUAUUUGUGAAAUUGUGUUUCCCAGCCAUGAGGGUGAGUCACACCAUUUGGGGCUUCAAGUUUCUUGUUUGGAUGAACUUUUCUCUGGGAGGCUGGGGCGGAUUUGGAGGGGGAGGGGGCCUUCUGGUGUGGGGAAAGUCUUCGAGUCAAGAUAAGGGGAGACCCUGGUGGUUGGGAAGUCCAGGUGCUCCAAGGCUGGGUGGGGCUGGGCUGGUUGUACCUGAAUUGCCUGGGGGAGCUUGAAAAAUACAGAUUGGGCUGCAGUAGGCGGGGGCGUUGUUGUUUCACGGGCAUGGAGUUUCAGUUUGAGAAGAUGAAAAAGUUCUGGAGCUGGACGGUGGCGAUGGCUGCACAACAGCAUGAAUGCUCUUAAUGCCACUCAACUGUACACUUAAAAAUCAUUGAAAUGGUCAAUUUUGUUGUGUAUAU
rnacentral:lncRNA from 10 species